GCACUGCUGAGGAGUCCUAUAUUAGGACGAAACGGCCUUCCAGUGC
rnacentral:hammerhead_ribozyme from 1 species